rnacentral:rRNA from 1 species
AUUGAACGCUGGCGGAAUGCUUUACACAUGCAAGUCGAACGGCAGCACGGGUGCUUGCACCUGGUGGCGAGUGGCGAACGGGUGAGUAAUGCACCGGAACGUAUCCAAUAAUGGGGGAUAACGCACCGAAAGGUGUGCUAAUACCGCAUACGCCCUGAGGGGGAAAGCGGGGGAGUCGUAAGACCUCGCGUUAAUGGAGCGGCCGAUGCCGGAUUAGCUAGUUGGUGAGGUAAAAGCUCACCAAGGCGACGAUCCGUAGCUGGUCUGAGAGGACGACCAGCCACACUGGAACUGAGACACGGCCCAGACUCCUACGGGAGGCAGCAGUGGGGAAUAUUGGGACAAAUGGGGGGAAACCCCGUGAUCCAGCAAUGCCGCGUGUGUGAAGAAGGCCUGCGGGUUGGUAAAGCACUUUUGGUCAGGGAGUGAAAAGACACUGGCCUAACUACGUGCCAGCAGCCGCCGGGU